rnacentral:tRNA from 1 species
GGGUGAGUAGUCUAGCGGUUAAGACGCCGCCCUUACAAGGCGGAGAGCCGAGGUUCAAAUCCUCGUUCACCCA